rnacentral:misc_RNA from 1 species
AAAUGAGCUGGAACUCUGUAUCCAAUUCAAAGCCCACUUGGCCUUUUGUGAGACACAAGGAAUGCUGUCAAUUGCAUUAAAAAGUUUAUUUUUCUGCCUUGGGUCCUUGAUAAAAGCGUCCAGAAGCAAGCUGUACAUCUCCGAGUGAAUAUUUUCCAUUGCAAUUUGAAAACCAUAAAAUGCGCGUGCCUCUUGAAUUUGCACAUCGUUCAGAAAUCUAGCAGCCAAAUUUUCCAAAACAAUUCCAUCUGAUGCGGCAAAAAAUGCCAAAACAUGACUGAUGAAGUGCUUUUCAGAUUCAGAU